UACAGAGGUGGCAAGCGUUGUUCGGAAUUACUGGGCGUAAAGGGCGCGUAGGCGGUCCCGUCAGUCCCUUGUGAAAUCCCCCGGCUCAACUGGGGAACUGCAAGGGAUACAGCGGGGCUUGAGUUCGGGAGAGGGAAGCGGAAUUCCGGGUGUAGCGGUGAAAUGCGUAGAUAUUGGGAAGAACACCAGUGGCGAAAGCGGACUUCUGGGUUGUUACUGACGCUGAGGUACGAAAGCGUGGGGAGCAAACGGG
rnacentral:rRNA from 1 species